UACGGGGGGAGCAAGCGUUGUUCGGGUUUACUGGGCGUAAAGGGCGCGUAGGCGGCAUGACAAGUCACUUGUGAAAUCUCUGGGCUUAACCCAGAACGGCCAAGUGAUACUGUCGCGCUAGAGUGCAGAAAGGGCAAUCGGAAUUCUUGGUGUAGCGGUGAAAUGCGUAGAUAUCAAGAGGAACACCUGAGGCGAAGGCGGGUUGCUAGGCUGACACUGACGCUGAGGCGCGAAAGCCAGGGGAGCAAACGGG
rnacentral:rRNA from 1 species